CUGACUUGCUAAUGGCCAGCAGUGGACAACCGCCGCCCUCAUACAAGCCUUAUCGUCUUCACAAAACCUUGAGAGCUCACGAUCGCGCGGUCUCCUGUGUAAAGUUUUCCAACGACGGCACCCUUCUAGCCUCGGCCUCCCUCGAUAAAACCCUAAUCAUCUGGUCGGCCUCAACCUUCUCCUUCCUCCACCGCCUCGAGGGCCACUCUGAGGGCGUCUCCGAUCUUGCUUGGUCCUCGGAUUCCCACUACAUCUGCUCUGCCUCUGACGAUCGCACUCUCCGCAUCUGGGAUGCUCGGCCCCCCUUCGACUGCCUUAAAACUCUCAAAGGCCACUCCGAUGUCGUAUUCUGCGUGAAUUUCAAUCCUCAGUCCAAUCUCAUUGUCUCCGGCUCCUUUGACGAAACGAUUCGAAUUUGGGGGGUGAAGACUGGAAAAUGCAUUAGUGUGAUUAGAGCUCACUCUAUGCCGGUUACCUCGGUGCAUUUUAACAGGGAUGGUUCUUUGAUUGUUUCGGGGAGUCAUGACGGGUCUUGCAAGAUUUGGGAGGCGUCGACGGGAGCGUGCUUGAAGACGCUUGUUGAGGAUAAGGAUCCGGCAGUGUCAUUUGCCAAGUUCUCUCCCAAUGGAAAGUUCAUUCUUGUGGCUACUCUUGACAGUACUCUUAAACUUUCGAAUUACUCUACUGGGAAGUUCUUGAAGAUUUACACAGGUCACACGAACAGGGUGUACUGCAUAACCUCAACAUUCUCUGUGACAAAUGGGAAAUACAUAGUUAGUGGGUCAGAAGACAAGUGUGUUUACUUGUGGGAUCUCCAGCAGAAAACUAUGGUUCAGAAACUUGAAGGUCAUUCUGAUACUGUCAUUUCUGUAACCUGUCAUCCAACUGAGAAUAAGAUAGCUUCUGCUGGCCUUCAUGCUGAUAGAACCAUUAAAGUUUGGAUUCAAGAUCCCUGAAUUGGUAACAUCGGAGAAAGGUUUUCGGAUUGACUGAUCAUUAGUCAAGAUCUUUUACCUUAUGAACUGUUGAAAGACAUUUCAUGUCUCAUUGUAAUCCAUACAUAAUUAUAUAAUGUAUAAUGUGGACUAAAAAGCUAUAUUUCAUUUGCCAAUUCAAACUGAUUUGGUUCUAUCAGC
rnacentral:misc_RNA from 1 species